AGUACUUUUGACUAUUUUUAUGGUGGCAAUCUGGGUAAAAAAUGGGGAUUCAGAACCAAGCGAAAGAAAAAAUGCUCAUUUUGGGGGUAUAGAAUGGACGGAAAGGUUAAAAUGAACAAGAUACAUAUAUGUAGGCAAGCAUUUUAAGCUUAGAAAUGAGGUUCCAUGUAGUAACAGGGGCAGAAAGGCAGCUCAGAUCAAUGCAGGCUUCCUGAAAGGGGUUUCUAGUACUUCUUUUGGGGACACAGCUUCCCGCAGAAUUCUCAACACAUCAAACAUCAUUGAUCCAUGUCACCUCUGUAUGCAAAGACAAGCGAAUAAAGUCAAUACUGCCCUUAAAUCACUGAAUGAGAGAAGCAUUUACCAAAUAAAAAACAAAACUGGUUGCUGAAAGUGCCAAA